rnacentral:rRNA from 1 species
UCUGAUGUUAGCGGCGGACGGGUGAGUAACACGUGGAUAACCUACCUAUAAGACUGGGAUAACUUCGGGAAACCGGAGCUAAUACCGGAUAAUAUUUUGAACCGCAUGGUUCAAAAGUGAAAGACGGUCUUGCUGUCACUUAUAGAUGGAUCCGCGCUGCAUUAGCUAGUUGGUAAGGUAACGGCUUACCAAGGCAACGAUGCAUAGCCGACCUGAGAGGGUGAUCGGCCACACUGGAACUGAGACACGGUCCAGACUCCUACGGGAGGCAGCAGUAGGGAAUCUUCCGCAAUGGGCGAAAGCCUGACGGAGCAACGCCGCGUGAGUGAUGAAGGUCUUCGGAUCGUAAAACUCUGUUAUUAGGGAAGAACAUAUGUGUAAGUAACUGUGCACAUCUUGACGGUACCUAAUCAGAAAGCCACGGGCUAACUACGUGCCAGCAGCCGCGGUAAUACGUAGGUGGCAAGCGUUAUCCGGAAUUAUUGGGCGUAAAGCGCGCGUAGGCGGUUUUUUAAGUCUGAUGUGAAAGCCCACGGCUCAACCGUGGAGGGUCAUUGGAAACUGGAAAACUUGAGUGCAGAAGAGGAAAGUGGAAUUCCAUGUGUAGCGGUGAAAUGCGCAGAGAUAUGGAGGAACACCAGUGGCGAAGGCGACUUUCUGGUCUGUAACUGACGCUGAUGUGCGAAAGCGUGGGGAUCAAACAGGAUUAGAUACCCUGGUAGUCCACGCCGUAAACGAUGAGUGCUAAGUGUUAGGGGGUUUCCGCCCCUUAGUGCUGCAGCUAACGCAUUAAGCACUCCGCCUGGGGAGUACGACCGCAAGGUUGAAACUCAAAGGAAUUGACGGGGACCCGCACAAGCGGUGGAGCAUGUGGUUUAAUUCGAAGCAACGCGAAGAACCUUACCAAAUCUUGACAUCCUUUGACAACUCUAGAGAUAGAGCCUUCCCCUUCGGGGGACAAAGUGACAGGUGGUGCAUGGUUGUCGUCAGCUCGUGUCGUGAGAUGUUGGGUUAAGUCCCGCAACGAGCGCAACCCUUAAGCUUAGUUGCCAUCAUUAAGUUGGGCACUCUAAGUUGACUGCCGGUGACAAACCGGAGGAAGGUGGGGAUGACGUCAAAUCAUCAUGCCCCUUAUGAUUUGGGCUACACACGUGCUACAAUGGACAAUACAAAGGGCAGCGAAACCGCGAGGUCAAGCAAAUCCCAUAAAGUUGUUCUCAGUUCGGAUUGUAGUCUGCAACUCGACUACAUGAAGCUGGAAUCGCUAGUAAUCGUAGAUCAGCAUGCUACGGUGAAUACGUUCCCGGGUCUUGUACACACCGCCCGUCACACCACGAGAGUUUGUAACACCCGAAGCCGGUGGAGUAACCUUUUAGGAGCUAGCCGUCGAAGGUGGGACAAAUGAUUGGGGUGAAGUCGUAACAAGGUAGCCGUAUCGGAAGGUGCGGCUG